CUUGGAUAUUUUUAUAAUGAAUGGUCAUUGGUCAAGUAUAAAGACCACUGCGUAGCUAUAUUUAUUAUUGCAGCGCUUUCAAUCUGGGAGGAAACACAAUUAUCAUACACUAUAAACAAACAUUGUCGCCAAUUUAGUCUGUAUAAUAAAACUAAGGAUUUCAAAUAAUUCAAAACGUCUGCAGUAUAGACAGGCGAGGACCUUACCAAUGCAACACCGAG